rnacentral:lncRNA from 1 species
ACAAACAGAUACUUGGGUAGUGCAGAUUCACCUUUUCUCAAACAUAAGCUAAAGCCCACCAUGGCUGCUAGUACGAGGAGCCUUUGCUAGAGGCAGAAACCAAAAUAGCUCCAAUAUCUCACAAGACCCACCAAAAGCUGCCACGCCAAGAUACAGCGAAGCUCAACCAUUUGAUGAGUAAAGAAUGAGAAUCAUCACAGCCUUAUUAUGGGCCUCAUGUUGAAGGUCAUAUUAGUAGAAAUGACACAAUGUAGCCACAUUCCAGGGAUCACCCUAAGGAUGUUGUUGUACACAAGGUAGCCACUUUAGGGCUGAUUCACUACAACAUUUUACUCCAUAUCAAAUACGCUCAUAGGAAGACACAAGUGACAAUUGAGGUUCAGAUUUGUAUUAUGCUCAGGCAAAGAAAGUCCAGCCAAGCUAUGGCUGCAAAUAUUCACAAGUUGCAUGCGACAAAAUCACAAGCAUCCGGGUCAUUGCUCCACCAAGAUACCGUCCGGGUAGUCUCAAUGCUCAAUUACUAGCUCAAGAGGAUAGAUUGAAGAUCAUCACUGUCACAAUAAGGGACCAUUUUGACAUUUUCUCAUGAUGCGUCUAUUUGUGUGUGUGCGCAUACAGAUGGAUUUUUGGUCAUUUAGGUUCAGAACUCUUCAAAUCCUUGGACAUCCAGUCAGACUAGUUGAAAAUUGAGGCUCAGAGCUGCAAAAAAUGGGGCCAAGAGAGGGUGAAAACGGUCAUGGCUGCAAAAGAACCAGUUGCAUGUGAAAGAGAAGACUCAAUUACAAGCCAUCUGGGUUUGCCAUGCCAAGAUAUGUGUCAUAUUGUCUCCAUGCCCCAAAGACUCAAUCACAAGCCAUUUGGGUUUGCCAUGCCAAGAUAUGUGUCAUAUUGUCUCCAUGCCCCAAAAAUCGGCCCGAUUAACUGUAUAAUCACUGCCUUAAAAAUGGAAACUUUUUUAAAAGAGCCGGUUUGAACAACCUUAAUAAGGAAAAAAAAAACUAUUUGGAUGAGCUUAGUAUUUUAAGUAGCUUUUAAGCAUAAGCAUAAAACAAAUGAGAUCUUAGCUCAAAGGGUCAAUUGCACUUUAGCCUCGUGCUCUUAAAGAACUGCAAAUAAAUGUAGCUCACAAUGAUCAGAAAAUUGAAUAGUACUACUGCUGUCAGCAUCACAUCGCCACCAUUGAAGGUGAUGGAAACAAAUAUCGCUUCUCGUCCCUGUUAUCAAAAGAAAAACAAGCAAAAAAGAAGGUCCAUUGGGCUUUAUGUGCACAAUGCAAAUACAGCGUGAGCUUUAACGAAGAGAGGCUCAAAGGGAGGAAGAAAAAAAAUAUAUCUAGUCCAAGACUAAUAAUUAUAAGAAGAAUGACAAAUGUAUGGACAAGGAAAUUGAAAAAAAUUACGAUAAAGUGAAAUAUCAAUUGCUUAGUUUCGCUUCUAAUUGGCAAGGAAAAGUAUGCCUUAGAGCCUUGGUGACAGACAUAAAGCGCACAUUAAGUGAUGCAAAGCGCUCAACAUGUUUUAAGCCUUGCUCGGGACAUAAGCGCGCCACUGAAAACACAGCUUCUUGUUUCCACCUUUGUAGAGGGUUGUUGGUUUGGCUACAAGAGAAAUCAUAGGCCAAUCAGAGGGGGCCAACCAACCUCAAAAGAAAUUCCCUUUCUCCCUGUUGGGCUCAUUCUUCAUCCUAGGCUGAGCUUGCAUCACUGAGUCAUUCACAGUUACUGCCCCUAUUUAGUGCUGGUCUUUAAUUUAUGCCCCUCGUAACAAACAACUUCUUGGUGAAACAUAAGUUUAUAUUUUCGCAUAGUAAUAUCCUGCAAUUUCUGUUCGGGUAUAACUUCAAUUUCUAAAGAAUUUAACAUUAUGUCCCCAAAACAUGCAAUUAGGGUGUGUUUGUGGAAGAAAAUAUUUUCCUAUUUUUUCAUGUUCGGUUAAAGUUUUAGAAAAAUAUUUUUUUUAUAACAACAAGCUCUUGAAAAUAAGCUCCUCAAUAAAUGUAGCGAAAACAAGUGACAUGUAGCAAAAGAAAGUGACUUAUCUCCUCUCACCCUUACAACCACCCACCCCAGCAAGCAUCCCGCUACUCAUCCUCUAAUUUUGUGUUAGAUAUAAACAAAUAUUUUUAGGAUAAUGUUUUUAUUUACUUUUAUUUUUCAACAAUUUUUUAUUUUUAUUUAUACCAAACACAAAACCACUUAUUUUUCUAAAAAAUACUUUCUUCGAAAAUAUUUCCCAUAGAAAACAUUCUCCUCCAUACCAUACCAAAAACACCUUAAAUUACAGCAAAAGCUAAAAAAAGCUAUUGAUUAAAGCAAAGAUGAAAUCAUUGACAUACCACAGAUGGCCAACCACCCUGAAAAAAGAGCAACCCGGUGCACAACGCUCCCAAUACCACGGAGCCGGUCACAAAGGUUUAUAGCAUAGAGUAUUAUUCUGCAUUUCUGCAAGAGGCUGUCUUCACGACUUGAACCAUAACAUUCUGAUCACAUCACAUUAACUUUACCAGUUACACUUAGACAAAUCCCCACCUUUAUAAAAUAAUUGCUCCCUCCGUUUCAAAAAGAAUGAUCUAGUUUGACUUGACACGGAGUUUAAGAAAGUAAAGAAGAUUUUUUAUUCUUAUGGUCCUAAAUUACAGUUGUAUCAAAUGUACCAAAAUGUUUUUCAAUUUUGUGGUUUUAAGCACGUCACUUGUAAAGUAGAAAUUAAAAUAUUAUAAAAAAAAGGGUCAUUCAUUUUGAAAUGGACUAAAAAGGAAAGUAAAUUAUUUUUUUUUGAAACGGAGGGAGUACAAAAAUACCCAAUAAUGCUUAUCUUCUUUGGAUGUAUCAGGAGCUAAUUAUGUAUCUUGACACAUCUAAAAUAAAAAAGAGAGUAUUGGAAGCUAAUUAUGUAUUUUUGUAAAGAAAACAAUGUAUUUCAUUGGAUGUAUCGGGGGCUAGACCCAAAAUUGAGAUUUUAGCAAUUAUGCAAAUAUCAAAAUUUCCUAUAAUUAAGAAAACUGUAGGGAUUUAUAUUGUUUCUAAAAAAAAUCAUUUUUGACCCGGACCUGAAUUUAUCAAAUAGAGGGAGGCUCAGAUGUGUGUAAAAUGGGGAGCAAAAAGAAGAAAAAUACGACAACGCCAUGGCUGCAAAACGAACCGGGUUUCGAGUAUUGCCCCGCCAAGAUACAGGUCGGGUUUUCUCCAUUGCCCCGAAUAAUAACAAUAAUUUUCAGCCCAUAUAUCAUCAUCACACAGCAAAUAAUUAAUAUCAUCAUCAUUGCCUCUCUUUUUUUUGGUAGUAGCAAUUUGUGGACUGUGUUUCCAAAAGAAAAGUACAAAAUGUAUCAGAGGGCGUAAUAAUAUUAGUGUUGGCAUCAAUGCCAAAGUAGAGUUCAUUGGAAAUGAGAGGAAGGGAGGGUUGUUGAUUUUGGUGGAAAUGAUUUGUUAUGAUCUCAAUUCUCAAAAGCUAAAAAGGAGUAAUCACAAUAUUUUUAGGAUAAUUUUCUGAUAGUAUAUUGACUGAUAUUGAGUAAUGAUUACAACUAAUGAAAACUAAAGGUAACUAAAAAUAUGAAAAACUAUCUACUCGACUCCAUAGAUGAGCUUGUAACCUGUAGAAGGGAAGAGAAGAGAAUAGAAUAGAAUCAGAUUAGAGGAUAGAAAGAGAGAUGAGAGGAUUCAGAAAAUGAGGGAAUUUGGACUAUACCAGUAAUGCCAUAAUACUCUGCCAAAUGAGUUUUUUAGGUUUUAUAACAAAACUCGUCCAGCUGGCUGCAUCUGAGCUCUUGGAGCUCAUUAACUCAAUUCUGUUCGUGGCCGUUGAUUUUAGUGUUAGUUAUUUCCCUCUCUGUCUUUCUAGUUUCGAACUCGAGUGACUGCAUUCAUUUUAUUGCCAUUUCUCAAGUCAUUACAUACCCUUCCUCUUCAAAUAAUCCUUGACCUCAAGGAUGAGCUAAAAAUCUGAAAUUUAGAACACCCCACUUGUUGAAGAACACCAAGUCCUCAAGGGUGUUAUCCUCUUCCAGGAUCGAAUGAGAAUUGAUGUGAAGGACCACCAAAUGAAAUACCAAUGCCUUCUGGAUCAAAUGGGAACUUGUAAUCCUCAAGAAUAUACACGGAAGUCACAUAGAGAAGACGUAAAAGGGCUAUAAUUCUAUCAUCUAUGAUUGCUAUUUGAGAACCAUAAGUAGCUUUCUUCAUGCAUAUCAUCUUCUCUUUAGGGACCAUAUAGUUCAGCAGAUGACUAUCCUCUGAAGUAGGUAGUUCACGCACGUUAUAAAAGCUCAAAAAAGAUGCAACAAUUUUUGGAGGAUCAAAAUUAUUGCCAGAGAAGAAAUUAGAGUCUCUCCAAGGCACAACCCAAGUAUCAAGCGCAAAGAAACUUGUUUGCACUGUGUUCUCCCAUCCUUCUUGAUUUGAAGAUAAAUCCAAGUCAUAACUUGAAUGAUGUAACCUUAUACCUCCACGAGUAUCUACAAACAAAUUGUUCAACACAAUAUUUGGAGGAUCCUUUGAUUUCUCUCGAAAUACCAAGUCAGUCGAACGCCACAUCCUACUCGAAUGACUUCCAUUGUAUUCCAUUUUGUGUAAGCCAUGACUCAGCGAUGCAUCCUGAGAACUUGGCUGAAGAAGUUCAAAGUUAUCAUCCAAAGGCAAAAAUGCUACAAGACAAGAAGCUAACAAGUAUUCCAAUUUUAGAAAGUUAAGCUUCCUUUCACAUUGUCUUGAGCCCUUAGUUUCCUGCCUAGUGUCGAAUGUUCCUAACUUAACUUCAGUUUUGGUUGACCAAUUCACUAGUAAUUCUUUUUGAGUAGUCCGUAACCAUGUAGCUUUGCCAUCUUCAAGUCUACGCCAAAAGUUAUGAGCACACGAGUACAUUGCAACAGGAAGGAUAAAAUCAAAUAACCAAGAAUGACAUAGUCUACAAAUAUGUAGUAGUUUUUCCAGGGAACACUUUGCUCUAGCAGUAGACAAACUUCUAGCGAUGACUGAAUCCCUUCUUUGAGAAGCUUUCCAGAUGGUACACCUUUCAACUGACCAAUUGUGUUCAAAAAAAUCAAUUGAGGUUACCUUUUUAAGUCAUCAAGCAAGGUUAAUUACAAAAUUGAGCCCCAAAGUAACAUUAUCUCCUUCCUGGAUGAUGUUGUUACUUGUAAGGAUAGGCCUCCUAUACCACUAUAAUCAUAGUUAUAUAUUGAAAUGGCAGAAAUUGAACAAAUAGAACCAAUAUGCACAACAGGGAAAUGGAUAAACAACUGCCAUCCAGUAUCCCACACUCAAUUGAUGUUAUCAGAAGAUCUAUGCAAACAAAACAUGUAAGUAAUAUCACUCUCCAGUUUUAUAUUGAAUAGCUUGUCACCAAGAUCCAUGUCAAGCUUAUGUCCCAUGUAUUUAAAUAGAAAACUCAGUACCUCAAUUGAAAUUGACCAAGGUGUACACUCAAGGCGGGUCGUGAAAUUAUAAGCACCGGACAGAUCGUUGGGACCCAUCAAUUUUGGUAUUGUAUCCUCAACAAUAAAAACAUAAGGUUGUGAAUCCAAAUGCGAGUUCACAAUAUCGAUCUUCGUGGUGUUUGUAUUUUGGAUGAAGUGAAGUUCAAGUAGAACUUCAGAUUCAGCCCUUUGAGGACAUUCGUCGAACACCUGGUCCUCGUUGUAUUUUGAAUCAAUCUUACUGCUAUUUUCAACCUUCAGCAGUUCGGCCAUAGUUUUCUCCUUCAUUCUUUUUCCUCGAACAAUCAUUAAAACAAAAGUGGCAUUGGCAGUCAACACUGCGUAUGCAACCAUAUACGCAAGAGUUACAUUGGCAGUCAACACUACAUAUGCAAUCCUCAGACCACCUCUGCCAUUGUUUAACAUUCACAACUAUUCUUGACAUUCCAUCCAUAAGGGCCCUCUAUUUGCAUUAUUUCGUUCAACCAAUUCAGCCAUAGUAAAUUCCGCAAAUAUCUUCUUCGAAUUACUACCCACAGUCGAGACAGGUUUGUAUCUCUGAUACGAAUUGUUAUGAUCUCAAUUCUUAAAAGCUAAAAAAGAGUAAUCACAAUAUUUUUGGGACAAUUUUCUGAUAGUAUAUUAACUGAUAUUGAAAGAUGAUUACAACUUAUGAAAACUAAAGAAUAACUAAAAAUAUGGAAAACAAUCUACUCGACUCCAUAGAUGAGCUUGUAACCUGUAGAAUAGAAUAGAAUAGAAUCAGGUUAGAGGAUAGAAAAAGAGAUGAGAUGAUUCAGAAAAGAAGGGAAUUUGGACUAUACCAAUUAUGCCAUAAUACUCGGCCAAACGAGUUUUUUUAGGCUUUAUAACAGAACUCGUCCAGCUGGCUGCAUCUGAGCCCUUGAAGCUCACUAUUUGAAUUCUGAUCGUGGCCGUUGAUUUCAGUGUUAGUUAUUUCCCUCUCUGUCUUUCUAGUUUCGAACUCGAGUGACUGCAUUCAUUUUAUUGCCAUUUCUCAAAUCAUUACAUCUUUUGAGCUAAAAUGAACUGGGUUACCCAUCAGAUCUGGAUUUGAAAUAGAGGCUCAGAUGUGUGUACAUAUGUGUGUGUUUUGUGAGGGGGGAUAGGAGAUGAGAAGACAACGACAAUGCCAUGGCUGCAAAAUAAACCAGGUUUCGGGUUUUGCCCCGCCAAGAUAUGACUCGUUUUUAUCCAUGCCAUGAAUUUUUUCAGCCCAGAAGAUCACACAGCAAAUAUCAGCAUCACUGCCUCUUUAAUAUAUCAAUUUGUUGACAAUUCUCAAGAGAAGUAAAAAUGGAACAGAGGGAGUAAUAAUUAAUAGUACUAUUGAUGCUUAUAGCAAAGGAGGGUUGUUGGUUUGGUGGGAUGGAGACAUCAUAGGCCAAUCAGAGGGGGCAACCAUCCUCCAAGAAAUCCAUUUUUUUGUUCUCCCUGUUGGUCUCGUUCUACCUUCUAGGCCAAACUGAUCCACAUUCUUGAGUAUUCUUUAUAGAUGGAGAUCGGAGGCUAUAAGGAGUUCCUGUUUGGAAAGCCACCUGGUAAGUUUAGAUAACUUUUGUCUCGUAAAUUCAGUAGAUAUUAAGUUAUGGAGUAUAAAAAACAUCAAUUCUUUCAACACAAAACAGAUAUUUGGUAGCUUAGAUUCAUCUUUUCUCCAACAUAAUCUAAACCCCACCAUGUUUCCUAGCACAAAGAGCCUUUGCUAGAGGCAGAAACCAAAAUAGCUACAAUAUCUCACAUGACCCCCCAAAAGCUGCCACGCGAAGAUAUAGCGAAGCUCGACCAUCUAAUGAGUAAAGAAUGAAAAUCAUCACAGCCUCAUCACGAGCAGCAUGUCGAAAAUCUUAUUUGUAGAAAUGACACAAGGUAGCCAUGUUCCAGAUCACACCAGUAGGAGUGGACAUAUUUUGAUUUAAAUCAGAAAUAUUGAAAAAUCAAGCCGAAAUUUAAUUUUGGUUUCAAUUUUUUUAUUUUUCGGAUCGGAUUUGAUUUGUAAUUUUAAAAUUUUGAUUUUUCUAUUCGAUUUUCAAUUUUUUUUAAAAAAAAUCGAUUAAACCGAAAAAUCAAAAAUUUAUAAAUAAAUAAAUAAUAUAUAUAUUUUAUUAUAUAUAUAUAUAUAUAUAUAUAUAAGGGGAGCCUUGGAGAAAGAGAUAAAGUUGCUCUCAUGNNNNNNNNNNNNNNNNNNNNNNNNNNNNNNNNNNNNNNNNNNNNNNNNNNNNNNNNNNNNNNNNNNNNNNNNNNNNNNNNNNNNNNNNNNNNNNNNNAAUAUUAUGUUUUAUAUAUAUAUAUAUAAUAUUUAGUAAUUCACAUUCAUAAUUAACAUUUAACAGCAAAUUCGUAUAUGCCGCAGACUGUUUAUGGAUUGUUUUAGUGACUCAAAUAUUUUAUGGACUAUUUUGAUGAUUUUGGACUGUUUUAUGGACUAUUAUGCAAAAAAUAUGUUGUUUCGUGGACUAUUUUUAUGAGUUUUGUGUUGUUUUGUAGACUAUUUAUAUAAGGUGAUAUUAUAUGUAAUGAUUAAUGACAUUAUGUAUUAUGUUAAGCUUAUGAUUAUUUCAUUUCGGUUCAUCCAUGUUGAGUUAUUUAUAAUUAUUUAUAUUUGGGAAUGAAAAACAGGUUUGAAAAAAAUAAUUUUUCUAAAAAAACCAUCAAUUUUAAAUGUUCAGUUAUGAAAAAGAGAGGCUAACUACUUUAAUAUUUCAAACUGAAAUAAAAAUCCGAAAUAACCGAACCGAAUUUAUUUCGGUUUGGUUACGGAUGUCAUUUUUGUCGAUCCGAAAACCGAUAAAUUGAACCAAUAUUAAACAAUCAGACCGAACCGACCGAACGCCCACCCCUACACACCAGGUAUGCUGUUAUACACAAAAUAGCCACUUUAAGGCUGAUUCACUAAAACACUUCCCUCCAUAUCAAAUACGCUCAUAGGAAGACACAAGUGACAAUUGAGGUUCAGAUUUGUAUUUAUGCGCAGGCAAAGAAAGUCCAGCCAAGCUAUGGCUGCAAAUAUUCACAAGUUGCAUGCAACAAAAUCACAAGCAUCCAGGUCAUUGCCCCACCAAGAUACCGGCCGGGUAGUCUCAAUGCUCAAUUACUAGCUCAAGAGGAUAGAUUGAAAGAUCAUCAC